rnacentral:rRNA from 1 species
GAUGAACGCUGGCGGCGUGCCUAAUACAUGCAAGUCGAGCGAACAGACGAGGAGCUUGCUCCUCUGACGUUAGCGGCGGACGGGUGAGUAACACGUGGAUAACCUACCUUUAAGACUGGGAUAACUUCGGGAAACCGGAGCUAAUACCGGAUAAUAUAUUGAACCGCAUGGUUCAAUAUUGAAAGACGGUUUUGCUGUCACUUAUAGAUGGACCCGCGCCGCAUUAGCUAGUUGGUAAGGUAACGGCUUACCAAGGCGACGAUGCGUAGCCGACCUGAGAGGGUGAUCGGCCACACUGGAACUGAGACACGGUCCAGACUCCUACGGGAGGCAGCAGUAGGGAAUCUUCCGCAAUGGGCGAAAGCCUGACGGAGCAACGCCGCGUGAGUGAUGAAGGUCUUCGGAUCGUAAAACUCUGUUAUUAGGGAAGAACAAAUGUGUAAGUAACUAUGCACGUCUUGACGGUACCUAAUCAGAAAGCCACGGCUAACUACGUG